rnacentral:rRNA from 1 species
GAUGAACGCUGGCGGCGUGCCUAAUACAUGCAAGUCGAGCGAACAGACGAGGAGCUUGCUCCUCUGACGUUAGCGGCGGACGGGUGAGUAACACGUGGAUAACCUACCUAUAAGACUGGGAUAACUUCGGGAAACCGGAGCUAAUACCGGAUAAUAUAUUGAACCGCAUGGUUCAAUAGUGAAAGACGGUUUUGCUGUCACUUAUAGAUGGAUCCGCGCCGCAUUAGCUAGUUGGUAAGGUAACGGCUUACCAAGGCGACGAUGCGUAGCCGACCUGAGAGGGUGAUCGGCCACACUGGAAGUGAGACACGGUCCAGACUCCUACGGGAGGCAGCAGUAGGGAAUCUUACGCAAUGGGCGAAAGCCUGACGGAGCAACGCCGCGUGAGUGAUGAAGGUCUUCGGAUCGUAAAACUCUGUUAUUAGGGAAGAACAAAUGUGUAAGUAACUAUGCACGUCUUGACGGUACCUAAUCAGAAAGCCACGGCUAACUACGUG